CAAUACGCAGCUGCAUGCUUUCAGGUGCAUAGUCGGACGUAACAAUGUCACGCGUGCUAGGGCCGCUCGUACCUACCUGGCACAUAGGCCGUUUAUAAAAUAAUCGACUUUGUUACAUUAAGCCAAGUGCCGUAUACUCGCCGAAAACGGUAUCCAUUAUCAUCUCGUGAGUUGGGGUGUUAUACGUCCUCUAUAGUUGCGAGAGCUAUGGAUGAGUUCAUCCGACCACGGCAAUGACAUCCCAUCUAUCCAUCUACAGUCUAUCGAAGCCGUAAUGUGUCCUAGCACGCCUAAAUGGAUCGGAUCACCUAUCUAGAGCCAGGCCUUGUCGCCCUUCUGGAAAACGUCCAUGCGCCACUCAGAUGACUCCGAUGGGAGUACUAAAUCAAAAGGUAUACAACGUUGAGCGCUUUUAUCCAUUCCAAAUUCACUGUGGGUUGCACUCAACACUGGGCUGUUUUUUCGCGAAGCUCGAUUUUGCCUUCAGGGUUAGCUGCGAGCAAUGGCAUAGACCUUCAAGAUGCCCCGAAGCUAAACAUAUCCUAUUGGAUUCUAAGCCGCCAGGUUUGUCGAAUAAAAAGCCUUCCGGUAGCUUACGCUCAUAUUUUCAGGUUCACCUCCUCUAGAGGACUGUAGAUGCUGAACGGGGUCCGUUUCUUGCAUCCGUAAUGCUGUCAGACCGCCAAACCCUAUAAGGCCGAUUUUCGCGAUUCCCUGAUGCCACCAGUCGUCCCAACGCAGGCGUCUUCCAUAUGAUUCCUGUACGGAGCUAAAAGGCUUGUACGACGAGUGAAAUAAAUGCCCAAUAGGCAUCCAACCGUAUGUUCUACAGAUCGAAAUAUAACUCUGUUUCCGCUGGGAAAAAUUAGUCAGUGUGACCUAGGUGUAACGCGGGUGUGGCAGUGUUACGCAUUGGAUAAGAUUAUAGUUGUCCAUGAUAUCGACUGGCUUGCAGCUAGCCAGCAACAGAAUGCUAGUCACCACCAUCUACCUGCGCCACCAUCUUAUCGCGUGUGUGUAUUAGCAUAGGCACCAGGGAACUUUGUCCACACCAACAACGUACGACGGGCUGAGUCAACGGUACAACGCUGACACAAGCACUGCCGAGAUGAGGGUUCAGGUCUCGUUGGACGUACUUGCGAGUUACCUAUUGUCAACACCACAGCGAAUUGCCAUUGUUGAUUGCCAAAUUUUAUCACGAUACCAAUAUCGAUAACAAUAAGCACCGUUAACUCUCACUAGCUAGCA